ACGCUCGACACCUACGGGGAGGCAGCAGGUGGGGAAUAUUGCACAAGUGGGGGAAACCCUGAUGCAGCGACGCCGCGUGACUGAAGAAGUAUUUCGGUAUGUAAAGGUCUAUCAGCAAGGAAGAAGAAAGACGGUACUUGACUAAGAAGCCCCGGCUAACUACGUGCCCGCAGCCGCGGUAAUCUGAGGCGGGCUGGCAAGGC
rnacentral:rRNA from 1 species